rnacentral:lncRNA from 1 species
CUGCAUAUAACCUGAACUUUAAACAUGCCUGGAACACAUUUGGUUCUGAUUUAAAACAAGUUGGCUUGCACCAUUGCCAUGUUAUUACAAAUACAAAAGAAAUAUAAACUUCAUUCCAUUAAAUAACCAUCCACAUAAACUCUUAAAUACUUUCAUGGCUUUGGGCUGGGCCAAAGCUGGAUAUUAAGGAAAUGAUUAUUAAUGUUACAUAUUUUAUUCAAACUGCUCUAAUUCUUUUAACCUUCCCUCCAUCCCUAAAAGUACCAGUCAACCUUUUCCUUCCUCCUGCAAAAUGUUCCCAGGAGGUUAAAACAGAUAGAACUUUGAUUUCAAGCUACUGACUCUUACUAUUUGGAAAUACUCUUUGUUUUCAGUUCCUCAUAGCCUGUAGCUGUGUGCUCUACUUGAAACUUUUCAAUCCUCCUUGGAUGACAGCAAAGUUAGUUAUUAUUCCCUAUAGCGGUGCUGUACAAUGGAAAUAUGUGAACCACAAAUGUAAUUUUAUGUUUUAUUGCCACAUUAAGAAGAGUGAAACAAAACAGGUGACCGAAAAGCACAGCAGCCCUCUUAGUUGCAAAUGUGUUGAGUUGUGUUAAAAAAAAAAAAAAAAGAUGGAGAGGAAUGCCCUGAUUCUUUACAGAUUUGAAGAAUUAUAUCUCAAUUAAUUUUAUAAUUUGAACUUGGUAUUUUCUUGCUCAAAUUCCAAAGGGGAAGAAACCCCAUUGUUUAUCAAGGAAGGGCUAAUGAUUGGGACUCAACACCGUUUGCACCUGAGACCAUGAUCUAACCAACAACUCAUCAGCAUCUUUUACCAAGGUAUUUAUGGGCUUGGGAAAUGGAUACAUCAGAAUUGAGGUAAAAUCAGGCUCAGAUUUAGAAUUUCUUGCACACAAACACUUGGAAUAAAAAAGUCCAAAGAUUUUUGCUGCCAGUGAAUGUAAUUUGCCAUUUCUGG